rnacentral:rRNA from 1 species
AGUGAACGCUGGCGGUAGGCCUAACACAUGCAAGUCGAACGGCAGCACAGGAGAGCUUGCUCUCUGGGUGGCGAGUGGCGGACGGGUGAGGAAUACAUCGGAAUCUACUUUUUCGUGGGGGAUAACGUAGGGAAACUUACGCUAAUACCGCAUACGACCUACGGGUGAAAGCAGGGGAUCUUCGGACCUUGCGCGAGUGAAUGAGCCGAUGUCGGAUUAGCUAGUUGGCGGGGUAAAGGCCCACCAAGGCGACGAUCCGUAGCUGGUCUGAGAGGAUGAUCAGCCACACUGGAACUGAGACACGGUCCAGACUCCUACGGGAGGCAGCAGUGGGGAACAUUGGACAAUGGGCGCAAGCCUGAUCCAGCCAUACCGCGUGGGUGAAGAAGGCCUUCGGGUUGUAAAGCCCUUUUGUUGGGAAAGAAAUCCAGCUGGUUAAUACCCGGUUGGGAUGACGGUACCCAAAGAAUAAGCACCGGCUAACUUCGUGCCAGCAGCCGCCGUAA